rnacentral:rRNA from 1 species
AGUGAACGCUGGCGGUAGGCCUAGCACAUGCAAGUCGAACGGCAGCACAGUAAGAACUUGCUCUUACGGGUGGCGAGUGGCGGACGGGUGAGGAAUACAGCGGAAUCUACUUUUUCGUGGGGGAUAACGUAGGGAAACUUACGCUAAUACCGCAUACGACCUACGGGUGAAAGCAGGGGAUCUUCGGACCUUGCGCGAUUGAAUGAGCCGAUGUCGGAUUAGCUAGUUGGCGGGGUAAAGGCCCACCAAGGCGACGAUCCGUAGCUGGUCUGAGAGGAUGGUCAGCCACACUGGAACUGAGACACGGUCCAGACUCCUACGGGAGGCAGCAGUGGGGAAUAUUGGACAAUGGGCGCAAGCCUGAUCCAGCCAUACCGCGUGGGUGAAGAAGGCCUUCGGGUUGUAAAGCCCUUUUGUUGGGAAAGAAAAGCAGCAGGUUAAUACCCCGCUGUUCUGACGGUACCCAAAGAAUAAGCACCGGCUAACUUCGUG